ensembl:lncRNA
GACUGCUGAUCAGGUUAGAUGGGCCCUUGUCCAAAGCAGAUUGGAUCUCUUUUCAGCUGUUUCAGCAGAGAGGAUCAGAAAUGACAGAGGGAGAAGAAAUUGUUUCUCUCAAUUCAUCCAGUAUCUUUUCUGUCAUUCAAAGGGCAAGAGAAAUCUGGAGUCGCGUGUGAGGAGCUUAACGCCUGCCAACAUUAGCAGCACUGAACACAUUCAGCAACAAUCCGUCAGCAUCUGAGAUCCCAUGCACCUAGGACAACACAGGAUAUCCCCAUCCUACCAGUGGAGACUGCUGUUAGCUGGAGUCUGUACACAUCGUUAGUUCAAGAGCUGUAAUCGCAAUCAUGGGUCCCCUAUUGCCGUGCUUUGCAGAAGAAACCCAACUUUCAUGUUUUUCUCCCAGCGCCUGUGAAAGAUGAAGGGAAAAGAGGUGUAGGAUACAGAAAAGAUCGACUUUAGAAACUGAAAGAGCCUUGAAAGCUGAGCAAGAAGAAUCAGAGCCAGGCCUGUGGGGGAGGGAGCGGGAUGGCUGGAGCUGCCUGCUGUCACCCCAGUGCCUCUUGACAUGAGUUGGGAGGCAACCGAGCUAAAGCCUCAGAUGCUGAGGCUGCGUGUGUCUGGCCUUUCUGGGACUGCUGUUGCUGAUCUGGGAAUAGGAGAAUAAGGCCUUCAGACUCUGGAGAAAUUGAAUGAACACACACUGUGGGACCAGGAGAGCAGAAGGCAUUGGAGAAAUCACUCAGCGAGAGAAGAAGAGGGGAAGGAUUUGAGCAGAAAUGGGCUCAGAGGAAGGACAGAGAGGUGGAAGAAUUCCUUUUGGGAUCCUUCUCCCAGAUCACUGAGACAGCUACCUCUGGAGAAACACUACUUCCAGGGCAAGACCUGGGUGAUAUUUCUUAUAAAGCAAGCUGGAAAAUCUUAUAUACAAUCUGAUGUCCAUGGAGCCUCGUUAGCCGGCAAGAACUCACUGCCAGAGAGAGCAGAGAGGCUGAGAUCUCAGCACGACUCAGAAUGGAAAUUACUGUUGGUGAUGGGAACGUCCAGAGAGGUAACUUGGAAAGUAUGAAGUUGUUCCCCUACAGAGGCAAAACCUCUUGUGCAAUGGCCCUAAGCAUCCUCAGUGCCCAUGGCUGAAGGCUGAAUCUCAGUCUUCACAGGCCAUUAUCCUAAGCUGCUUGGCAACUUUUAUACACUCAGGAAUGGCAAG